AAUCUUCUUAGGCCUGAAACCUGUUUAGCAAUAAAUAAAAUUCAGGAAAAGUAGAUGUAGUUCUCCUGGAAUACAUGUUGGCGGGAGGGAGAAUAUUAUUUAGAAAAAUGUUCUAACUUUUUUGACACCCCAACUUAUAAACUUGGCAGAAUUGCAUGCUGAUUAUCUCAUGAGAAACAUUCUGGGCUGAAAAACUCAUUAGUCCUCUCUAUUCCCCUAUAUUACAUUCUCUGUAUUCCUCUAUAUUACAUUCUCUAUAUUCCUGUAUGUUGCUUUGAUUUUUUUCUUUCUAUUUUUUUUGUUCUACCCUUUCUUUGCCUGUCGUUCUCAUUGAGACAAGACCUCCAUAAAAAUCUCUUAAUGUAAUGGACCAUUUCUGAGACGUGCAGGAAGCACUGAUUUCUCACCGCUCAGCAGUUUAGCAGGAAUACCUUCCCGCUCAAUGGGUAGACACUCUGAGGAACUCGCUGCUACAGGAGGUUACUAAGAUCACAUAUUUCGGUAAAUAAUGACCUAUCUAGGGUUAUAAAAGUAAAUCAAACUAAGAGUUUUGGGGACAAACCCCUCAACACUAGUUUACCCUUGCUGGGGAUGAGCAUGGAGGCAUUUGCAUGGAGGCAGAUUAUACCACCUCGCUCUGCUGUCCGGUCUUUGCCCCUUUUUUUAAGGCCACGUGAAUUAGGAUGGUACUAUGGCCCCAUGUUCCUACAGGUUUUGUUUUCAAUCCCAGAGGUCUUUCCUCCCGACUGUCCGUCUCUCCGGGAGUCGCAGAACGACAGGAGAAAAGAGGUGCUCAUUUGUGCAUCAAGUCAAGACUAAUGCUACAAUGAGUUUAGGAAAAAUUUGGUUUAAGCAAAACUGCAGAGCAUUAAUUCACCUGUCAUUUAUUUAAGGCAUCCGAAGAAGGAAGAAGGAAAGGCUGGGCUGUGGCAGGGAGCCAGUAUCAAUGGGGGCUGAGCCAAAGGAAAGGCACGAGGGUUUCACACGCUGGCCGCUCUCCCUCCGUCGGGGCGCUUGGCAGGCGCACCCCUGUUUUCAGCCUCCUCUUUCUGAGGACGACGACUCGUACGUACUGACGACUCAGAAUCAGGCACCUGGAAGUUCGUCGCAAAGGGCACGCUGAGAAUUACGCUACAAAUCACCGUGUCCAAGGAUGAAAAGAGGCCCCUCCAGAGCUGGGCUCAGCACCUCCGCGACGUCCUCCUUUCCAUUCAACCACAGGCCUCUCCCUCCGAGCGCAAGCGGUCUUUGGGAGAGGUGGAAACAGAAGCAAGGAACCACAAAGAGGGAUUCUGGUAACAACCAUUCAACCUCCUGACCUCCGUCUUUGGACCCUUGGCUGGCAAGAGCGCACGUGAAUUAUCUAGAUGUCAGAUACAGGAACUGUUUUCUGAAUCCAUUAAAAAGGUCUGCUCA